CCUUAGAGUUUGAUCCUGGCUCAGGACGAACGCUGGCGGCGCGCCUAACACAUGCAAGUCGAACGAGCGAGAGAGAGCUUGCUUUCUCGAGCGAGUGGCGAACGGGUGAGUAACGCGUGAGGAACCUGCCUCAAAGAGGGGGACAACAGUUGGAAACGACUGCUAAUACCGCAUAAGCCCACAGUGCCGCAUGGCACAGAGGGAAAAGGAGCAAUCCGCUUUGAGAUGGCCUCGCGUCCGAUUAGCUAGUUGGUGAGGUAAUGGCCCACCAAGGCGACGAUCGGUAGCCGGACUGAGAGGUUGAACGGCCACAUUGGGACUGAGACACGACCCAGACUCCUACGGGAGGCAGCAGUGGGGAAUAUUGCACAAUGGGGGAAACCCUGAUGCAGCGACGCCGCGUGGAGGAAGAAGGUCUUCGGAUUGUAAACUCCUGUUGUUGAGGAAGAUAAUGACGGUACUCAACAAGGAAGUGACGGCUAACUACGUGCCAGCAGCCGCGGUAAAACGUAGGUCACAAGCGUUGUCCGGAAUUACUGGGUGUAAAGGGAGCGCAGGCGGGAAGACAAGUUGGAAGUGAAAUCCAUGGGCUCAACCCAUGAACUGCUUUCAAAACUGUUUUUCUUGAGUAGUGCAGAGGUAGGCGGAAUUCCCGGUGUAGCGGUGGAAUGCGUAGAUAUCGGGAGGAACACCAGUGGCGAAGGCGGCCUACUGGGCACCAACUGACGCUGAGGCUCGAAAGUGUGGGUAGCAAACAGGAUUAGAUACCCUGGUAGUCCACACCGUAAACGAUGAUUACUAGGUGUUGGAGGAUUGACCCCUUCAGUGCCGCAGUUAACACAAUAAGUAAUCCACCUGGGGAGUACGACCGCAAGGUUGAAA
rnacentral:rRNA from 1 species